AGUCGAACGGUUCCGAUUUAUCGGAACAGUGGCAGACGGGUGAGUAACACGUAAGUAACCUGCCCCCAAGUAGGGAAUAACUCUGAGAAAUUGGAGCUAAUACCUUAUGUGUUGGCGAGGGUAAGGCCUCAUCAAUAAAGUCUUAGGACGCUUGGGGAGGGGCUUGCGGCCGAUUAGCUAGUUGGUAGGGUAAUGGUUUACCAAGGCGAUGAUCGGUAGCUGGUUUGAGAGGACGGUCAGCCACACUGGGACUGAGACACGGCCCAGACUCCUACGGGAGGCAGCAGCAAGGAAUAUUGUGCAAUGGGCGAAAGCCUGACACAGCGACGUCGCGUGAGGGAUGAAGGCCUUCGGGUUGUAAACCUCUUUUCUCAGGGAAGAAAAAUGACGGUACCUGAGGAAUAAGUCUUGGCUAACUACGUGCCAGCAGCCGCGGUAAUACGUAGAAGGCUAGCGUUAUUCGGAUUUAUUGGGCGUAAAGAGGGCGUAGGCGGCUUUUCAAGUCGGAUGUAAAAUCUCCCGGCUCAACUGGGAGGGACCAUCCGAUACUGUUAGGCUAGAGGGCAGCAGAGGGAGGUGGAAUUCCCGGUGUAGUGGUGAAAUGCGUAGAUAUCGGGAGGAACACCAGUGGCGAAGGCGGCCUCCCAGGCUGUUGCUGACGCUGAGGCCCGAAAGCGUGGGGAGCGAACAGGAUUAGAUACCCUGGUAGUCCACGCCGUAAACGAUGGACACUAGGUAUGGGGAGUAUCGACCCUCUCUGUGCCGAAGCUAACGCCUUAAGUGUCCCGCCUGGGGAGUACGGCCGCAAGGCUAAAACUCAAAGGAAUUGACGGGGGCCCGCACAAGCAGCGGAGCGUGUGGUUUAA
rnacentral:rRNA from 1 species